rnacentral:tRNA from 1 species
GGAUAUGACUCAGUGGUAGAGUUUUGGCUUCUUACGCAGAAGGCUGCAGGUUUGAUCCCUGGCAUCUCCA